GGGAUGUUAUGUAUAAGGUUGUACAGUUUGAUUGCAGAUCAUAUUCAUGAGGUUCAACUCCUCGAUAUCCCU
rnacentral:tRNA from 1 species